rnacentral:rRNA from 1 species
AGAGUUUGAUCCUGGCUCAGAUUGAACGCUGGCGGCAGGCCUAACACAUGCAAGUCGAACGGCAUCGGGAAGGUAGCUUGCUAUCUUUGCCGGCGAGCGGCGGACGGGUGAGUAAAGUCUGGGGAUCUGCCUGAUGGAGGGGGAUAACUACUGGAAACGGUAGCUAAUACCGCAUGAUGUUACGCGACCAAAGCGGGGGACCUCCGGGCCUCGCGCCAUCAGAUGAACCCAGAUGGGAUUAGCUAGUAGGAGAGGUAAUGGUUCCCCUAGGCGACGAUCCCUAGCUGGUCUGAGAGGAUAACCAGCCACACUGGAACUGAGAGACGGUCCAGACUCCUACGGGAGGCAGCAGUGGGGAAUAUUGCACAAUGGGCGCAAGCCUGAUGCAGCCAUGCCGCGUGUGUGAAGAAGGCCUUCGGGUUGUAAAGCACUUUCAGCGAGGAGGAAUGAAGCAAUGCAAAGAGUGUUGCUAAUGGACGUUACUCGCAGAAGAAGCACCGGCUAACUCCGUGCCAGCAGCCGCGGUAAUACGGAGGGUGCGAGCGUUAAUCGGAAUUACUGGGCGUAAAGGGCACGUAGGCGGUUUCUUAAGUCAGAUGUGAAAUCCCCGAGCUUCACUUGGGAACGGCAUUUGAAACUGAGAGUCUAGAGUUUUGUAGAGGGGGGUAGAAUUCCAGGUGUAGCGGUGAAAUGCGU